GAGGAUGUAGCUUAAGUGGUAGAGCUCAUGCUUAGCAUGCAUGAGGUCCGGGGUUCAAUCCCCAGUACUCUCU
rnacentral:tRNA from 1 species